ACUCAGUUUGUAUUUUUAAUAAUGUUAAAAUGGUGUAAUAUUCAUGAAUUUGAUUAUGUAGGUGGGAACUUGCCGAGAGAGCCCGCCCACACGCUCUCCUGAUUGGCUGUGAUUUUUGAUUGGCUUUAUCGCGUCUCAGAGUGGCAUCGCGUCUGGUGUGGACGGUGUAAGUUGCAUUAAAUGUGAGUGUGAGAGUGUUUGACACUACUGCUGACCUGUCCUGAUGCAGGAUCUUCUCUGAAAAUGGAUGCUGUUGAUGUUGGCUUUAGUUUGCCAGCAGUUCAGUCUUGCUUGUCUUCAAGGUCUCUGAUGGUUUGUGCGGUAAGAAACGCUCACCGCAAAUGAUUUCUGCAGCGACAUGAAUGAGGGCUAGACUGAACCAUACACCAUAAUCUAAACACUUCAGCAAACACAAAAGAAGAUGUUUUGAAGGAUGAUUCGACUGUUUUGGUGCAUAUAAUGAAAGUUGAAGCAAUAUUGAACCCAGUGAACCUUUUAAAAUGUCUUUCCUUUACCCUUUAACAUGAUCGGAUCACUCAAGCCACACGGAUGGAUUCUGUCCAUGAAGGUGUAAAUGAAAAAGCACGUAUUAUGUAAUAAGAUUACGCUACAUAUAAUCAGACAAACUCUCGCUUGAUACGUGAGCGAUUUGCAGUUCAAUUAAGCUUAAAAAGAUCCAGAUCCAGUUUGAAACUAUUUUACAGGGCCUACAGUAAUAUGUCACCUGUUUGAUUUAGGUUGUUUUACAAGACGUCUCUCGGUUAGUGUUUGUUUAAUAUUGUGGAUUAUGCAGUGACCCCCAAAUAUGGGUCCAGUAUAAACAGGACAGACGCAUAUAUUUGCAUGUUGACAACCCGAACGACAAAAUGACUGUGUGUUUGACGUCUGACCAGAGCUUCUCUGAACGUCUCCCUCACAGCGUGACUUCUGAUUGGCUGGCAUGCGGCCGGGCCAGAAAUAAACAGUUUGUCUGGUUGAAGCGUGUUUGACGUUUGAUUCUGCUGAGCGCACAAGCCAUGUUCUGUGUGUCGUAGUUCAUUUGUGAGGUAAUGAGAUCUUCCCUGCUCAGGUUCAGCUGCCCUGAUUCUGUCUCCUCUAAAGGAGUUUUCCAGAUCUUUGCUGGACACUCCAACAGAUUCUUGAUGUUAGGACAAUGCCAAAUAUUUAAUAAUCAUUUCAGCACCUGUUCUGCAGCUCAUAUGAGCUCAGUUCCUCAUAUUCACUUUAUAUUAUAUUAUAUUAUAUUAUAAUUUGAGGUUAUGUAAUCCAAAUACAGUUCAUAAUGUAAUAUAAUAAAUUAAUUUGAUGGUAUAUGUAUAUUAUUAUAAUGUAUAUUGUAUUAUAAUAAUUUAAAAGAUUAUUUAAACUGAAUAUAUUAAAUGAAUAUGAAAAGGACUCGAGGUGAUAGUAGUGUAUACAGGUUCAUUGGUUUAUAUGUUAAGUCUAGUAUGGAGGUGUUAUUACUUGAUUUGCUAUAGAUAGAUGGAAA